UACGAAGGGGGCUAGCGUUGUUCGGAAUUACUGGGCGUAAAGCGCACGUAGGCGGAUAUUUAAGUCAGGGGUGAAAUCCCAGAGCUCAACUCUGGAACUGCCUUUGAUACUGGGUAUCUCGAGUAUGGAAGAGGUGAGUGGAAUUCCGGAGUGUAGAGGUGAAAUUCGUAGAUAUUCGGAGGAACACCAGUGGCGAAGGCGGCUCACUGGUCCAUUACUGACGCUGAGGUGCGAAAGUGUGGGGAGCAAACAGG
rnacentral:rRNA from 1 species